GAAGUAACGAGUAUUGGUCAAAAAAUUCUCCUUCGAACCGGAUUCGAACCAGUGACCUAUGGAUGUCCGCUUCUGAACCGUCUACAGUCCACCACUCUACCAACUGAGCUAUCGAAGAGCGUCCCAUUCGGAAAUCCGGCCACAAGGGGAGUGGAAUAGGAUAAAGAGACAGGAUAUUUCUUCAUGAUAGGAUUAUAUCUUGUGAUGUUGACUUGACGGAGCGGCGACAGCGCUGCACGGUGAUUGGUCGAGGCCCAACGGCUGAGAUGGCGUGGUAUAGCUACCCCGCCCCCUCCUCCCCAACGGAAGUGGAUAAUAAAAGGAAAAAAUGGCCAACUUUCGAGAAUGUCUCAUCCCAGUGCCACUCACGGUCAGCGCAGAGACCCGAGAGAGAGAGCCCUGAGCAUCCGGUCUUUGGCUUUUCUACCAUAUCCUAAAUUUAGCUUUUUUUUGUACCUUUUAGGUCUAAUCCACUAAUAAAAUCCAAAGCCAAUGGAAACCGUGCAGAUGAGUAUAUGAAUUCAAUGAAAUACAAGCGACGAAAGAUUGUUCAGCCAGGACUUGAACAGUUUGUAAUGCUAUGAAUAAAAUGUCAUUAUUUUUAAAAUGUCCGUUUAUAGAACUCAGGAAAGAAUUUCUCCGAACAUCUGAGAUAAAAUAUAAAGAAUAGAGAAGACAAGCCAAAGCUCAGUGAACGAGUAAAAGGUUAAUGCAUAUAAACAUGAUGGAUUUAUAAAUGCAAACACUACCAUAGUCUGAACUGAAUUGAAACAUUCUAAUUCACCCAAUGGGAAAGGCUACAUCAGUAGUAACUCGAGGAGGUUUUGAUGAAUGUUCAGAGAAAAUAUAACCAUUGAAAUCAUUAGUUUCCAUUCUUUAUGAAAACUGAAGAGACCAAAAUGAUGGACCAUAUU